AGAGUUUGAUCCUGGCUCAGAACGACGCUGGCGGCGUGGAUUAGGCAUGCAAGUCGAACGAUCCCGCAAGGGAUAGUGGCGAAAGGGUGCGUAACACGUGGGCAAUCUGCCCCCGAAACGGGAAUAACUUCGGGAAACCGAAGCUAAUACCUGAUGACACCGAGCUGCCGCAUGGUGGCACGGUGAAAGGCGUCCGCAAGGGUGCCGAUCGGGGAUGAGCCCGCGGCCUAUCAGCUAGUUGGUGAGGUAACGGCCCACCAAGGCGAUGACGGGUAGCCGGCCUGAGAGGGUGGUCGGCCACAUUGGGACUGAGACACUGCCCAGACUCCUACGGGAGGCUGCAGUCGAGGAUCUUCCGCAAUGGGGGAAACCCUGACGGAGCGACGCCGCGUGGAGGAUGAAGGCCUUCGGGUCGUAAACUCCUGUCAGUCUGGAAGAAAAUCUGCAGCAAUGUGGAUUGACCGUACAGGCAGAGGAAGCUCCGGCUAACUCCGUGCCAGCAGCCGCGGUAAUACGGAGGGAGCGAGCGUUGUUCGGAAUCAUUGGGCGUAAAGGGCAUGUAGGCGGCUCUGUAAGUCGGGUGUGAAAUCCCAUCUCUCAAGGGUGGAACGGCAUUCGAAACUGCAGGGCUUGAGCUCGGGGGAAGAGAGCGGAAUUCUCGGUGUAGCGGUGAUAUGCGUAGAUAUCGAGAAGAACACCAGCGGCGUAAGCGGCUCUCUAUCCUGAAACUGACGCUGAGGUGCGAAAGCCAGGGGAGCGAACGGGAUUAGAUACCCCGGUAGUCCUGGCCAUAAACGAUGUGCACUUGGUGUUGGGCCGCGAGGCUCAGUGCCGAAGCUAACGCAUUAAGUGCACUGCCUGGGGAGUACGACCGCAAGGUUGAAACUCAAAUGAAUUGACGG
rnacentral:rRNA from 1 species